rnacentral:rRNA from 1 species
CAGUCGCCGCGGGAAAACGUAGGUGGCAAGCGUUGUCCGGAAUGAUUGGGCGUAAAGGGCGCGCAGGCGGCUGUGUAAGUCUGUCUAGAAAGUGCGGGGCUAAACCCCGUGAGAGGAUGGAAACUGGACAGCUGAGAGUGUCGGAGAGGAAAGCGGAAUUCCUAGUGUAGCGGUGAAAUGCGUAGAUAUUAGGAGGAACACCGGUGGCGAAAGCGGCUUUCUGGACGACAACUGACGCUGAGGCGCGAAAGCCAGGGGAGCAAACGGGAUUAGAUACCCCAGUAGUCCCUGUCUCUUAUAA